UAGAUAAAGAUAUGUAGAAUAGAAUGAGCGAGUGAUGGGUAGAUAUUAGAAAAUUUGAGAGGUUAGUUAUAAUGAUGAUCUGACCUGUCUUAAAUAAGUUUAUAACUUUAUUAAGGAUAAGUUAUCGUCUCAAAUUUGUCAUAGGUCAAUAUGCCUCUACGACGAAUGAAGAAUACUCAAGGAGUGGUAGGAGGGACAUCAAAUCCACUUAGUGAUAACACUCCCCAAUUGAAUAGCGGCACAUUUCAGCAGGAAGGAAUCAUUGACCCUACUGAAAAUACUCCGACAGUGCAGGAAGAGCCGAACAUGACUCAAUUAAUGCAAACUC
rnacentral:lncRNA from 1 species